CCUACGGGAGGCAGCAGUGAGGAAUAUUGGUCAAUGGGCGCGAGCCUGAACCAGCCAAGUAGCGUGAAGGAUGACUGCCCUACGGGUUGUAAACUUCUUUUAUGAGGGAAUAAAGUGAGGCACGUGUGCCUUUUUGUAUGUACUUUAUGAAUAAGGAUCGGCUAACUCCGUGCCAGCAGCCGCGGUAAUACGGAGGAUCCGGGCGUUAUCCGGAUUUAUUGGGUUUAAAGGGAGCGUAGAUGGGUUGUUAAGUCAGUUGUGAAAGUUUGCGGCUCAACCGUGAAAUUGCAAUGGAUACUGGAAGCCUUGAGUACAGUGGAGGUAGGCGGAAUUCGUGGUGUAGCGGUGAAAUGCUUAGAUAUCACGAAGAACCCCGAUUGCGAAGGCAGCUUACUAAACUGACACUGACAUUGAUGCUCGAAAGUGUGGGUAUCAAACAGGAUUAGAUACCCGGGUAGUC
rnacentral:rRNA from 1 species